rnacentral:tRNA from 1 species
AAUUAAUUAGUAUAUAAAGUACACUUAACUUCCAAUUAAAAAGAUUGAAUUUAAUCAAAUUAAUUA